GGUGGUCCCACCUGACCCCAUGCCGAACUCAGAAGUGAAACGCCGUAGCGCCGAUGGUAGUGUGGGGUCUCCCCAUGUGAGAGUAGGGAACUGCCAGGC
rnacentral:rRNA from 13 species